CACGCCCGCGUGGAGAAUGACGGCCCUUGGUUGUAACUCCUUUUCUGGGACGAGCGAGGACGUACCACAGGAGUCAGUCACGGCUAACUACGUGCCAGCAGCCGCGUAAAUACGUAGGUGGCGAGCGUAUCCGGAAUUACUGGGCGUAAAGAGCUCGUAGGCGCUUAGUAAGUCGGCGGUGAAAUACCGAGGCUCAACCUCGGCACUGCCGUCGAUACUGCUAUGGCUAGAGUUUGGUAGAGGAGAACGGAAUUCCCGGUGUAGCGGUGAAAUGCGCAGAUAUCGGGAGGAACACCCGUAGCGAAGGCGGUUCUCUGGGCCCAAUACUGACGCUGAGGAGCGAAAGCGUGGGGAGCAAACAGGAUUAGAUACCCUGGUAGUCCACGCUGUAAACGUUGGGCACUAGGUGUGGCGACCCGAUCAACGGUUGCCGUGCCGAAGCUAACGCAUUAAGUGCCCCGCCUGGGGAGUACGGCCGCAAGGCUAAAACUCAAAGGAAUUGACGGGUCCCCGCACAAGCGGCGGAGCAUGCGGCUUAAUUCGAUGCGACCCGAAGAACCUUACCUGGGUUUGACAUCAUGGGAAAAGCCGUAGAGAUACGGUGUCCGAAAGGGCCCAUGACAGGUGGUGCAUGGCUGUCGUCAGCUCGUGUCGUGAGAUGUUGGGUUAAGUCCCGCAACGAGCGCAACCCUUGAUCUUAGUUGCCAGCAUUCAGUUGGGCACUCUAAGGUGACUGCCGGUGAUAAACCGGAGGAAGGUGGGGAUGACGUCAAAUCAUCAUGCCCCUUAUGACCUGGGCUACACACGUGCUACAAUGGACGGUACAGAGGGUCGCAACCCCGCGAGGGUGAGCAAAUCCCAUAAAACCGUUCUCAGUUCGGAUUGUAGGCUGCAACUCGCCUACAUGAAGCCGGAAUCGCUAGUAAUCGUGGAUCAGCAUGCCACGGUGAAUACGUUCCCGGGCCUUGUACACACCGCCCGUC
rnacentral:rRNA from 1 species